rnacentral:rRNA from 1 species
CGAAAGCCUGACGGAGCAAGACCGCGUGAGGGAGGAAGGCCCUUGGGUUGUAAACCUCUUUUCUCAGGGAAGAAAACUGACGGUACCUGAGGAAUCAGCCUCGGCUAACUCCGUGCCAGCAGCCGCGGUAAUACGGAGGAGGCAAGCGUUAUCCGGAAUUAUUGGGCGUAAAGCGUCCGCGGUGGUGCCUCAAGUCUGCUGUCAAAGGUCGGGGCUUAACUCCGGAAAGGCAGUGGAAACUGAAGCGCUAGAGUGCGGUAAGGGUAGAGGGAAUUCCCGGUGUAGCGGUGAAAUGCGUAGAGAUCGGGAAGAACAUCGGUGGCGAAAGCGCUCUACUGGGCCGCAACUGACACUCAGGGACGAAAGCUAGGGGAGCG